GUAUGAGGGUUCCCGACCCCCUCAUGGAUACCAGUCUACGGUGACCUCCAGAUGCAGAUCCGGAUAUGCCAUGAUAGGAUCCGGCGUCCUGACAUGUGGUGUAGAUAGUCAGUGGUUACCUGGGCUUCCAACAUGUAUCAAAACACCAAUCCCGACCCCCGUCCUGCUAGGAUAGGAUCCAGCGUCCUGACAUGUGACUUAAAUAGUCAGUGGUCACCUGGGCUUCCAAAAUGUAUCAGAACAACAACCCCAAAGAAACCAACAGAAGGAGUCCAUGUUAGUGCUUAACAACUGUCUAAAGCCCUGUGGUGUUGUACAGAUACUUACACUUUUGUUUCAGAGAAGGUGUGGACUGCAUUUUAACUAGUUUUGACAGCCUCUUCAGGAUGAAUUCAUACCAUCAUUAAAGUGAAUAAGUGUGAUAUGAACACAUCCCUGAUGUCAGUAACAUUGUCCUGAUUACUCUUUUGGUUCUUUUUCAGUAAUUUCAACCACAACUAAAGCCACCACCAUUACCACACAUCCUUCUUCCACAAAGAAACUGACUGAACUGUAUUAAUAAACAACAGAACAUUUACUAUGCCGGCUGGAAAUGAGGACUAUAACGAAUAAUAAAGAAACGAGUCAUUGCUCUAUGUGAUGUUCUGUGAAGAUUCUAGUUACAAUAUGAAUACACAUUUAUCAGAGCAAACAAAUACAGUACAGGGUGUUUAUUUUCCGUGUAUACAAGUCGUACAAUUGACCACAGGAAACAGCGGAUGUGAGUCAGGCCCUGGACAUUUUGCAGUUGAAAGCCAAACCCACAGAUUCUGGCCACAAACAACAUGGCUCUCAUUUAUAUCAUGUUAAAAACUGGGAGUACUGGGAGUGCAAACCUAUUACAAGGAGAGUCUGUACAUUUUCUGAUGAGUCGGGCUAUGUAAACAAGGAUAGUGAGUUCCCAGUAUAAAUAAAUUCAAAUG